AUUAAAUGCCACGGCAGGAGAGAGGCAGAGGAUCCUCCUGGAAUCCAGAUCUAAACUAGGAUGUUAGCUGAAUAUUUGCAGAAGAGGAAAUGGUUAUAACCUUGAGUUUGUAAAUCUUCAGAGA